rnacentral:ncRNA from 1 species
AUGGGUUCCCAAACAUUUUGGGAUUCAAGGGAACGUAGUUAGAAUCUACGGCUGCCCCCGCAACUGUAAGCGGAGAGUUUUAGGUCUUUGAUACCACUGGGCUUGUUUUGUGUGGCCUGGGAAGGUUGACCUAGUAACUGCGACCCGUAAGCCAGGAGACCUCCCAACGAUAU